rnacentral:rRNA from 1 species
UACGAAGGGGGCUAGCGUUGUUCGGAAUUACUGGGCGUAAAGCGCACGUAGGCGGAUAUUUAAGUCAGGGGUGAAAUCCCAGAGCUCAACUCUGGAACUGCCUUUGAUACUGGGUAUCUUGAGUAUGGAAGAGGUAAGUGGAAUUGCGAGUGUAGAGGUGAAAUUCGUAGAUAUUCGCAGGAACACCAGUGGCGAAGGCGGAUCUCUGGGCCUUACCUGACGCUGAGGCGCGAAAGCUAGGGGAGCGAACAGG